rnacentral:rRNA from 1 species
GACGAACGCUGGCGGCGUGCUUAACACAUGCAAGUCGAACGGUAAGGCUCCAGCUUGCUGGGGUACACGAGUGGCGAACGGGUGAGUAACACGUGGGUGACCUGCUCUGCACUUCGGGAUAAGCCUGGGAAACUGGGUCUAAUACCGGAUAGGACCAUGGUGUGGAUACUGUGGUGGAAAGUUUUUUCGGUGUGGGAUGGGCCCGCGGCCUAUCAGCUUGUUGGUGGGGUAAUGGCCUACCAAGGCGGCGACGGGUAGCCGGCCUGAGAGGGUGGACGGCCACAUUGGGACUGAGACACGGCCCAGACUCCUACGGGAGGCAGCAGUGGGGAAUAUUGCACAAUGGGCGGAAGCCUGAUGCAGCGACGCCGCGUGGGGGAUGACGGCCUUCGGGUUGUAAACUCCUUUCACCAUCGACGAAGGGUUUCUGACGGUAGAUGGAGAAGAAGCACCGGCUAACUACGUG